rnacentral:lncRNA from 1 species
CUUACAAAAAAAAAUGCCCAGUGAUUUAGAAGUGGGUGUGUGUGACCGUGAGAACAAGACCAAGGGGGAAACCCUAUUUCUUCAAAAUCUUGCAAAUUAAAGGAGAAAAGGGCUAAAUUUUGAAUGCAUGAACUAAGAAUGAUGAUCAUCUAAGCAUACCCAACAUCAAUAUGAAUGUAUGUUGGAACGUGUCAAGGAGAGGUCAAGCAUAGGAGGAUAACGGGUCAAGAUAAGGCAAGGUGACAAAUACACUUAUUGGAGUACUCGAGGUAUGGGAUCGUUGGCUUCAUGAAGAAAUGGAGCUGGAUUUGGAUAAGAGUAUUUAAGAAAGCGCUUGGACAAUUCCACGACUACUUUAUAGAAUGCUCUACGAAAUUUUAUUAUAUAGUUUAAUGUUGAAUGGUAUGUUAAUGACUAACGGUUUGGUUGUACGUGGUGUCCACAUGUAUCGCUUGGGUUUUCUCUACAUUUAUUGAAGUGAAGCGGACUUAGUUCGAGUUGAGAGCAAGGAUUGUACGGGGUAGAAUGGUCACAUAGUGUAACUCAUAUAGGUUUUGAAGUAUUAAUGUUAUAAAACGUUAUAAAUCCGUUUUAAUGAAUAUAUGGCAUUUCGCUUUUGA